GACGAACGCUGGCGGCGUGCUUAACACAUGCAAGUCGAACGGAAAGGCCCUGCUUUUGUGGGGUGCUCGAGUGGCGAACGGGUGAGUAACACGUGAGUAACCUGCCCUUGACUUUGGGAUAACUUCAGGAAACUGGGGCUAAUACCGGAUAGGAGCUCCUGCUGCAUGGUGGGGGUUGGAAAGUUUCGGCGGUUGGGGAUGGACUCGCGGCUUAUCAGCUUGUUGGUGGGGUAGUGGCUUACCAAGGCUUUGACGGGUAGCCGGCCUGAGAGGGUGACCGGCCACAUUGGGACUGAGAUACGGCCCAGACUCCUACGGGAGGCAGAGGUGGGGAAUAUUGCACAAUGGGCGGAAGCCUGAUGCAGCAACGCCGCGUGCGGGAUGACGGCCUUCGGGUUGUAAACCGCUUUCGCCUGUGACGAAGCGUGAGUGACGGUAAUGGGUAAAGAAGCACCGGCUAACUACGUG
rnacentral:rRNA from 1 species